rnacentral:rRNA from 1 species
GAUGAACGCUGACAGAAUGCUUAACACAUGCAAGUCUACUUGAACUUCGGUUUGGGUGGCGGACGGGUGAGUAACGCGUAAAGAACUUGCCUCACAGUUAGGGACAACAUUUGGAAACGAAUGCUAAUACCUGAUAUUAUGAUUUUAGGGCAUCCUAAAAUUAUGAAAGCUAUAUGCGCUGUGAGAGAGCUUUGCGUCCCAUUAGCUAGUUGGAGAGGUAACGGCUCACCAAGGCGAUGAUGGGUAGCCGGCCUGAGAGGGUGAACGGUCACAAGGGGACUGAGACACGGCCCUUACUCCUACGGGAGGCAGCAGUGGGGAAUAUUGGACAAUGGACCAAAAGUCUGAUCCAGCAAUUCUGUGUGCACGAUGACGUUUUUCGGAAUGUAAAGUGCUUUCAGUUGGGAAGAAAAAAAUGACGGUACCAACAGAAGAAGUGACGGCUAAAUACGUG